rnacentral:rRNA from 1 species
GUCUCAGUUCGGAUUGUAGUCUGCAACUCGACUACAUGAAGCUGGAAUCGCUAGUAAUCGCGGAUCAGAAUGCCGCGGUGAAUACGUUCCCGGGUCUUGUACACACCGCCCGUCACACCAUGGGAGUCGGAAAUGCCCGAAGUCAGUGGCCCAACCGCAAGGAGGGAGCUGCCGAAGGCAGGUCCGGUGACUGGGGUGAAGUCGUAACAAGGUAGC